rnacentral:lncRNA from 1 species
CAAAUGCCCUGUUUUACGUACUGCCUGUGGUGUUGCUGCCGUCCCCUAGAUCGAUACUUGUCGAGGCGUGGGGACAGGUUCGAUUACGUCGAGUAUAUACCUCUGUAUCAGGGGCAAAAGCUGGGCCAUUACGAGCGUGUCUGACUUUCAUCUGGCCGCUGUCCAAUUAGUUAAACGCGCGUAAGAAUAUUGGACUUUAAUGUACUUACGUGCUGACAAGAUGUUUAUACACUGUGUAUCGUUCAUCAAAAACUUCAGAUACAUGUAUCUUUACAGUUUUUCAAUAAUUUUUAUAGUUUCUUAAAUGCUUACAUUAAUGGAAGGCAAACGAACUUAUUACUCAACCCAA